UGUUAGGCGUGGUGCCAAGCUCUGCAUGAAGUGUCACUUUUACUUCUUUUUGUAUUUUCAGUUUUUCGGUAAUUAAUGUGUUUCUUCCUGUUCUGGUGGCCUCAUGGUGACAACAGGGCAAAUGCCUGGACUCUCCUCGGGGAUCCUGGCAUUCUGCCUGUGAGCUUUUUUCAGCGGGAAGCAAAGCCAAAGAAAUCUGAGACAAAAAUGGGCUAAUCUGUCCCGCAAUGUGCAAGAGACAGCUAAAGAGUGACAGGAAAGGGGGGAAAGAGAGAUGAUGACACACAGCAAAGGACCACAGAUCUGAGUCAAACCCAGCAGGUCGCUGCAACAAAGACUCAGCCUUGGUACAUGGGGAACCAGCUCUACCAGGCUCCAGGCCUGGAGGGGCUGCAGGUGUACAUAACAUGAAUGCUCAGUCAUUUUGGUGUUAGAUGGCCCUAUCAACUUUCAGCAUGGGUUGUACCACACCAGAGGGUUCCCUGAACUGACAGGGCGCUGAGAGAUCUCCGAGUCCUCAUGAAGGGUGUGGAUAUUUUGCCUGUAAGCCUGGAAAGUCUGCAGUUGACUCAACACAAGUAGAAUUGUACCAGGACGAGCAAUGGCCCUGUUCCUGGCUUCUGAAUGGGACUGUGUGGAGAGCCUGCGGACCCACCCCCUUUCUCCAGAGCAAUGAUGGAGUCAGAAAGUAACAGCUGUGUUUCAUUGUUGUACUGGCAUCAGAUUAUUGAUGCUCAGGUGGCCUCUGGUCCUCUUUCGAGUAGCAAUGGUGAUAAGGCCUUGGCUGGUUCUGGUUCUGUUCACAGCCCGGCAGGUGAUGAAAUAUCCACAUGUCUGGUUUCCAGCCAAGGCGCUUGUCUGCACAUUCUCAGAGAACUUGAGCUCCAUCCAGUUAACAGGCUGGCUUUUGUACAUUUGAAUUUGAAGCUUAGAAAUUACCUCUGACUAUUAUCUGGUGAUGCACAUUUCUGGAGUCAACGUGAUAUAACUGACCACCUAUUCAAUUUUUUGUCUGACUUCUGGUUUGAGAAACAACUUCAAAAUCAGUACCAGCAAAUAAAAACCUUAUUGUGAUGCUAUAUUUUAAAUCUGGAAGAGAUUUAAAAUAGUGUAAAGUUUCAUCCAUUUUUGCUCCUACAGAUAUGCAAACAAAUGAAAACAAGCGUAACACUAGUAAGAUGCUACUUACAGUAUUACAGGCAGGGUUCUAGUAAUAAGAUAUGAUAUUACU